AGCUGCAUAGCUCAGGGGAAGAGUGAGUUCACUUCCAAUUCCAGUAAAAUCAAUCAACUCAUACUAACAAAUUUCCAGGCGCCGGGCUCAUAUAAUUGCCACCCGGAGGUCCAAGGAUCGAAACCUUGUGCAGCUA